ACUCUGGGUACUUACCUCAUUGCAUCCGGACAACAAACUUAUGAUGGACAGAUGUGCUGUCACCCCACCUUCCAGGUGCAGCAGGACGCUCUGUGAUCUUUGGUAAGGUGGCAGACCUCUCCGACCCGCAGUUUUCUCAUCUGCAAAAUGGUUCACGCGAGCUGCUUCAGUGGGCCUUCGGGCUCCAAAUCUUUCCAGACAGUGGAAACUGCCCUUUGCCUGGGAAGGAGGCUGCCUUCGUUAGAAAAGUUCGUGCCUAAAUUUAGGAGGCUGAAAUCUCAAUUUUGAAGUGUCCCAUAAUAGAGGAAGAUAAGGCACCCCUAUUUUUGUGGCUUUUCUGGUUGGCUCUGCUUGGAGCACUGUCCUGGGACCUCCCCCAGCUGCCACUCGGGGCCUGAGCAACCUUUCCUCCUGAAGCCCAAACACCAUCGCAGCUGCACAAGGGCUGGCGGCCAUUCGGAUGAUUCCCAGAUGGGGAAACUGAGACUCAGAAAAGCGAAGCAAGGUUCUGAGGCUGUCAGGUGACCAGAAGCAGUUUUGUGCCCUGAUUCACUACAUGGGUCCUGGGACCCGCGGGAUGCCAAACGUUCUUGAGUCCUGGUUUCUGGAAGAGAUCUGGGUUAAAUACAACCCAGGCAGGCGGGAGACGGAUAUUGAAAGCACAGACUUAACCCAAGACUGCAGGUCCAAGGGCAGCACCAUCCUCCACUCUGCUGGGCUGCAGGAACAACCCACUGACCAGUCCCUCUGGAUUCAGGCCGGUGCCUCACUCACACCCACCCAGGUGCCAUGCAGGGCGAGGCUCUGUCCCCACAUGUGUCAGGCAGCAACUUUGACCUUGCAACUCGACUUGUGGAAAUCAAGGUCACGGCAAUGGGUGCAAAGCUUGCUGGACUAAGGGCUCUGCAAGGUGGCCUCCAGUUGGCCCAACAGGA